GCCGAAGCAGCCACAGACCCAGCACUCAGGUCCCUGUGUCCAGGAGGCAGAGGUUUUCAGAAGGAAGGUGUGGCUUUAAGUCCCAGAUGUCCCCACCUGUGAAUCUGAAACAUGGACAAGGAAACCUGAGUCUCCUCUGAAGAAGGCAAAGGAGAGACCCACCCAAACUGCUGCAGGAGCAAAUGUGAUAAGAGCGUUUGAGAAAGAAGGAGCACAUCACAGGCUGUGUUCUGCAAAGCUGGGCAUUUCCCCACCCUCCGCAGGGACCUGCCAGCUCCAGCCCAGCCCGCCUGUGCAUCCCAGCUCCUCCAUCGGACCUGAAGCAGUCGCUGCCCUCAGAAAUGCCGCUGGGUCCCAGGAUGACCAGAUGCCCUCUUGUCUGCCCAGUCUGGAGGAGGCGCUGCCCAGAGGAUACUAGGGUAGCGCUAAGGGCCUCUGGACCAUGCCGAGACCACACAGCAUGCAGGCUGGUGAGGUCGACCCACAUCAUUGAUCCAGAUGUUAUCAAAGCCAGCCACACCCUCCAAGAAAUAACACCGAUGAACAGAUUCGCACUUGGAGUGGGAGAGGCUGUCGGAGAGGAUUUCUCAGAAGACCGAUUAUGCCUUCGUUUUAUGAAAUGAUACUUUAUUUCUAGUUGGAUCAAGUAGCUAGCAGUUAUAAAGUAUUUAUAAAGCCUUAUUCUAAUCUCCUCAAGAC
rnacentral:lncRNA from 1 species